rnacentral:rRNA from 1 species
CUACGGGGGGCACCAGUGGGGAAUAUUGCACAAUGGGCGCAAGCCUGAUGCAGCCAUGCCGCGUGUAUGAAGAAGGCCUUCGGGUUGUAAAGUACUUUCAGCGGGGAGGAAGGGAGUAAAGUUAAUACCUUUGCUCAUUGACGUUACCCACAGAAGAAGCACCGGCUAACUCCGUGCCAGCAGCCGCGGUAAUACGGAGGGUGCAAGCGUUAAUCGGAAUUACUGGGCGUAAAGCGCACGCAGGCGGUUUGUUAAGUCAGAUGUGAAAUCCCCGGGCUCAACCUGGGAACUGCAUCUGAUACUGGCAAGCUUGAGUCUCGGAGAGGGGGGUAGAAUUCCAGGUGUAGCGGUGAUAUGCGUAGAGAUCUGGAGGAGUACCGGUGGCGAAGGCGGCCCCCUGGACGAAGACUGACGCUCAGGUGCGAAAGCGUGGGGAGCAAACAGGAUUAGAUACCCCAGUAGUC